UGCAGACAAUAUGUCACAACAACAACAACAACAAAGACUCUUACUGAAGUAGAAGUGGUGGUUGAGUUCAAUGACCAUGCUGCACUUGGAGAAACCCCACAGGCUAGUGAUGUGGCAAAAACAUUAGCAAAUGCUGUGUCCAAUCUCAACAACACCUUCAAUCUCACUGUUGAUUCCACUACCAUCCAAGCAGUUGUAUUGAAUGAAACAAAUCCAACAGCUGUGGUCCCCAACCUGACUACUACGGAAGCCACUCAACAAACACCCAUCAGUGCUACACCAGCUCCAACAACAGAGACUACAGCAGCUACUUCGACUGCUUCAGGAACCACAACAUUUGUUCUUGUCUCAGCUGUCUUGAAUACACCAUAUGAACCACAACUCAAUGACAGCAGCAGUGUUGAGUUCAAGACUCUUGAAACAGAAGUUGUACAAAUUGUGAGUACCAUGUCAAAAUGGUUACGUGGCUUCAUAAAUGCCCAAGUGGAUGAAUUCAACGUGACAAUCUUGAUUAUUGUAUUUAGAUAAUGAAACAUUUGUAAUAUGUUUGCACUUUUCUAUCUGCUUUCCUCCCUCAGUGGGACAUCGUCUACAGUGCCAGAUAUUAUUAUCUUUUUGUCCGUGCCUAUGUCGUAGAAUUCAGGUAAGGUUUUAACUUAUUUUUCGCUUUAUUGUAGGUGCUGUUCUCCAGUAUCAUGAGUGUUGUAUUCCAAAGAACCCCAUUUCAUGGAGCAAUUGCACACAUCAUUAAUGACUGUCAAUAUGAUGUCCUUGAAAUGUUCUGCUGUUUUUUGCAGACAAUAUGUCACAACAACAACAACAACAAAGACUCUUACUGAAGUAGAAGUGGUGGUUGAGUUCAAUGACCAUGCUGCACUGGAGAAACCCCACAGGCUAGUGAUGUGGCAAAAACAUUAGGAAAUGCUGUGUCCAAUCCCAACAACACCUUCAAUCUCACUGUUGAUUCCACUACCAUCCAAGCAGUUGGUAAGUAAGCUGUUGCCCUGAAUCCUAAACCAUGGGUAAAUACUUUUUCUGUUCUCAGCGCCAUCUAAAAAGAUGGUUGGCUCAACAAAGAGCAUGCAGAAGCAGAAUAAUCAAAAAGGCCAAAAUGAGCAAGACUUAAUGCCAGCGUUGUCCAAUCCUCACGUUCGACAGCUACUGUCUUUCUGGUUUUCUAACUAUCGGCUGAUUACCUUGAUCAGAUGGGUUAGUCAGUUGCUGCUUUACUGAACAAACCUGGUC
rnacentral:lncRNA from 1 species